rnacentral:sRNA from 1 species
AAAGAACACAUAUAUAUUCAACCAGUUUUAAAAAUUAAAAAGAUCAAAUUACAAUCAGGCACUAGAUUUCACUAUCUUUUCAUGUCACGUCAAUACUUAUGAUUAAAUUUUGUUGAUAAAUUUAUGGAACAAUAAAUACAAGGAAAAACUUCUGGAAUAUUAUAAGCUUGUAUACAUAUGAGGGUUAAUUUUUUAGCAAUGCAAUUAACAUGCUCAUUUUAUUCAAAUGAUGUCUUUGGGGCUGAAAUAUAUUAACUUUUUCAUUCCAGAUUUUUGGAGCUACUGGGAAGGGGAAAUAAUAGGUGAUUAUUCACUUAUUAAUUAUAAUACUUCCAUAUCUGGAUAUCCUUUAGAAUUCUUUUCCAUUACUAGAAUUGUCACAGAAGGAAGAAUUCAUUCUUUGGAGGUUGCUGUGAUGAAUUUAUCCAACUUGCCCUGAAGAUAUUUAUAUAAGUUGUCAUCAGUGAAUUUCAAUGAAAACUUGAAUGAAAAUAUACUUGGAUACUUUUCUAAGAGAAUGAAAAAUCAAUGCCUGUUGUUAUGAAAUUCAGGAUUCUGACACUAGGACAAAGGCAGUUUAAGGAGGAAGAAGUGAUCAGAACUGUUGGCCAAGAGUUAUGUUUGAUGCAUGUUUUGAAUCAUCACGGUAAAACUACAAAUGCUAUUUGUAUUUCUGAUUAAAGUAUCCCAUCACAGCCUCCUCUUAGCAGGUAAGCUCAAUCUCUUAUUUCUUGGGGGUUAUCUAUCAAGAGUCUGUAAAUAGCUCUAGUUGAUUUCCUAUUUAUCUUUCCUUCAACUAGUAUUAUAGCACAAUAUAUGUGUUUUUAAUGAACACAGUUCUUCCAUAAAACAAUCAUAAAACCAAACUGCCAUCUUAACUAGCAGUCAGUCCAAUUCUCUUCUUUGGCUCCUUUAUGACCCAGUCUUUCUCAUAGUAGUUGGAAUUUCAAAAGGCAGGCAAUAUGCAUAGUUAUCAAAGAGAAUGAUUAAUUAAUGGUCAAUGUCUGCACUGUGCCAAAUUAACUCAGAUUUAAGGACUACUUCAUUACAAAGCAAACAUUUUUAUGAGGAUGAAUAUAUUUAGUUUUAUUUAGAUCAAUUGAGUUAAGACUAUAAAUUGUGAGACAUAGUAAUAUUUUAAGGGAAAUUAUUAUCUAGACUCUAGACAGAACAAAAUUAAUAUGCUCUGUGGAAUAUUAAAUCUGUCCAUGGCUUAUUCAGUAACGACAUCAUUAACAAUCUUCUAUCUGUAUUUGUUUUAGGAUUUGAUAGUCUUCCUCUCUAAACAGAGACUUUAAUUGUGCAUCAUUUGAAUGAAUAAUUCACAGCUUCCUAAAUUUAGGUGGGAUCUUUCUAAAUGUGCAGAAUACUUGAAGAAAAAUAAAAGCACAAAACACCCCAAAUAAGGCUGUCUCUAUCUGAAACUCCUGUAGCCUUGUAACUGAGAGGAAAUAUCUAUUAAACAUGUUGAGACAUUUUUCUAUUGAGACAUUUAGGUGAACUGAAUUCAAAUCUCACCCAGCUAUAAACAUGAGAAAUGAUACACAAUUACAAAGAUCUGGGUUCAUGUUGCCUUCUUCUUUUACUUUUAAAGCAUACAGCUCUCAAUGAUGACUAAAACUUCUUUUCAGAAUAACGGAGACAAUCAAGGAUUAUUUUUGAUAAAUAAAUUUACUUUUACAAACUCUUACUGAAGUCACUGGUGGCAUAUUUUUCAUCCAUGUAGUGACAUUUGUUUGAGGGCAGCAUAGAAAAGUGUGCAGACAUGCAUUUAAACAUUUUUAAACAUACCUUACAGACAUAGAUGCCCAGAGAGGAUAAUGAAGGACUCAGCAGCAUCUCCCCAGUGGGGACAGAUGCUCUCACCAUUAUUUUUCCUACUGCAGGAGGAACUCUGAUCAAUAAAUCCCAAAUCCCGCAAAAGUCUGCAAGUUACAUGUAUUUGGCAAUUUCAAAAGAUUUGUGACUUAAUACCAUGCCAUAUCAAAGCCAUUGCAAGAUCUGUAGUUCAAAAAUCUUCACUGCAAUAGAUUUGAAGUUCUGAUUCCGUCUGAGAAAAGAAAGAAAAUUCCAAGUUAGGGCUGUUUCCAGGCACUUAGUGAGUUGUCGGGAAAACUUCAAGUUCUACAGACAUGUUCCUGAAAGGCUAAAAUAACUAAUCUUCUUUAUAUAGGAUUUACUUGAUUUUGGUUCCUGUUUUCCUUUUUAACUAUCUCAGAUCUUUUAGAUUUCCAAACAUUCUCUAUGUUCAAGACUUCAGCAACAUACAGACUAGGGCAUAUAAAACACCUGUAAUUAAACAUCAACACUUGUCAAGGGCUUCAGGGAUAUCUUUUAUCUGUCCUUUAUUUGUAGUUAGAGAAAAAAAAUCCAUUUCUUUUUUUCACUAUUACAUCCUAUUUCUUUAAAGGUUAGUUUAUACCACUUAUUUUGGAUUAAUCAAUAGAAGUUAAUAUCUUUUAAAAUGCCCUUAACUGAAUCAACAUAGUAGCUGAAUGGAAUUAGCGCAGUUAUCUACAGUGCUCGGCCCUGUCAAGACCAUGAGUUCUUUACUUUAAUCAAAUGAUGUUUUGUCAUCUGUAGAUAUAAUUACCAUGGACAGCGGCUGAGCAGCAGAAAAACCAAGAGUAGUUGGCCUGGCUUCACAGCUACAACCUCCCAUAGGUGUUCUGUACCAACAAAGUUAUAUAUCAACACCAAUCUAGCACUUCGCAACUGCCGUUCUAUUAGCCAGCCUUUGCUUCCAUUGGUGUUCGGCUGUUAUUCAUCUUAAAGGAUGUGAUGAAGCUUAGCUGCAUACAGUUUAAGGAGAAAGCAUAGCUUCUUGGUACCUUAUUCUUUGUAAAUGGACACAUUAUGCAUCAGUGCAUGGGAUAAUUUUUGAAUGGGAAUAAACUUUGUAUGUAACCACUUGAAAUUAUGUAGGUAACCAUUUAAGGUGACAAAAGAAAGUAAGUCAUUUCCUGGAUUUGUUUAUUUUAAAAAAAACUGCAAUAAAAGUAACAUAAUGUUUUCUAGGCCAGACUUUGUUCAUAAAGUACCCGAGCCUAAGGAGAGAUGAAACUGUUUAUUGAACACCACUUCAGUAAGUGCACAAGGCUCUGAUGUUCACUUUUUCUUUACCCCCCACCUUUUAAGUGCAAUCAAGUCCUCUUUUAUGCUAGCAGAGACCCUGCCUGGCAUUAUGCAAUGCCUUUACAUCCACCUGUCAUUUUCAGGGUCGAGCAGCAGCUAUCUAAAGAGUUCCAUUCUUUGUAUAUUUAAAGUGGGACACAAGAACCCAAAGCAAAUCGUCCACAGUUAGACAAAUGGACGAUAUUAAAGACAUGACUCAGACCCAAUCCUGGAAAAGUUUGCUUUCUUCUAUACCUUGAAAAUGAGUUACAUACACAAAAAUCCUACAGAUAUGAAAUAAAGUUCUGAGCAACAUAAGAGCUGCUGUAAAAAGCUUCUAUAGCUUAGGAACUUAACUGCUAAUUAUACCACAGGUAAGCAUUUGAGUUGAUGCAUUCAAAUGCCCCAUGAGUAUACUUUUAGUGUCUUACGCGAAAAAAAAGCGGGGAUUUAAAAAGUAGUUGUACUCGACUUACUUUCCAUAAGUGCUGCCUUAAUUAUAUUGGUAAUUUAUAAAAUUUUCUUUAUACUCAAUUAAAGCAUAUCAACAUUAUAAAGUUUGUAUAUAAAUUCUGUAUUCUAUGCAUGUAGACAUGCAUAUUAUUGUUUUUAAUACUGACAUUUGAGACUACAUAUGAGGUGUUUGUCUCUUGAGAGGUGUGUACCCAGAACUACCUCUCUUCUUCUUAUAUGUAUGGGUCUCUUAACACCUCUGUUUAAGUAUAUAUUAAAACCUUUUUGUAAUAAACUCCAUAUACAUUCAAAAAGUAAAUGUGAAUUCUGUUGUUCACAUCUCACCUUCACAAUCAAAAUGAAUUGAGUGCAUAUGUCAGGAUAGUAAUACUCUUUCUAACACUUUAACUCUUGAAAGGAUAUGCCUUUAUAGAUUUUAGGAUCUUGCUUAGAGUUUAGAGUGACUAUGCCAUCACUCGAAGUACAAAAUCAAAAUGGAUCUUUUUCUGGCAAAAUCUAGCUAUCUAGCAUAUUGUUAUUUUAACAUCAACUAUGCAGGUUUAUUUGAUGCAUAGCAUAGCUAAUGUUUUUUUUCCACAUUUUGAUGAGCAAAUAAAAUUCCCUACUUCCCAUAAAAUGUAUUUCACAAGGGACAACCAUGUUCUUAUCAUUUAUUAUAAUAAUAAUUAUUAAUAAUGCAUCUCUGAUAUGCAUGCAUUGGGCAGGACUCUAUGCUUGUGCACACAGGGCAUAUAAAUAUAGAAGUCAGAAGCCAACGUCAGGUGCCUUUCUCUGUCACUUUAGUUUUUGAGACAAACUAACUGAAUCUGGAGUUGACCAGAUGGCUAGAUUGACUGGCCAAAGUUCCCUAAGGAUUCUCCUGUUUUGCCCUUGAAGCUCAGGUGUUAUAGGUAUGUAAUUCCAUGUCCAACUAUUAAUGUGACUUAUGGGAAUCAAACUCAGUUUCUGAUGCUUUAACAGCAAACACUUUAAGCCCUAUGGCAUCUCAUCAGCUCUAUUUAUUAUUGUUGCUAUUAUUAAUCUUAAUGAUGGAGGUUGCGAAGGUGAUUUUACUGUUUUAUAAACAGUCCAUUAAAGCCAGAAUUUUUCCAUUGGGUCUUCCAAGACUCUGUAGAACACGGAUUGUUCACCUGAAGCAUGGAGGAGAUGACUUCAUGCUUACCUAUUCAAAGGUUCAUCAAGCUCAACAGUUUAUGGACUCUACCAGAAGCUUGUACUUAGAGUGCAAAUGUAUGGAAACUCAUGUCUUCUUUAUCCUGAUCUAACCAGUGAAUGAUUUUUUUCUUAUGACUGAAUAUUUUGUAAUAAAAUGGUUAAUUGAGCCCAAUUGUGUUUGGAUAUAAAUAACAGAAAAAAAAAAGAUUUCUUUAAACUUCUAAAAUUUGCCCACAUAAAUGAUUCCAAAGCCAUUAUAUUAUAUAUUAUAGUGUUUACCCAUCUGCAUAUGCAAAGCCUGGAAUAAAAAUAAAUUUAAUUCCAGGAAAACAAAGCCAUGUUUUAGUUAUUUGACAAAUUUAUAUAGCUUUUUUAUUUAGGUUAAUUUACAUUUUUUGAACUAUUUUCAGAGAUCAGUCCUUUCUUCUGUAUACCCAAGCUCUUCCUUUCUGUUGAUUCUUUCUUUGGACAAAAGAGCAAUUCAACAACAACAAAAAAUCCUCCUUCCUUCCCUUGUGCCACUCCUUUACGAUUUUGCUGUGACUUUGUCCUUCACACAGCUGAAUCUGGGGAUGAACAAUGAGCAUUCUAUGACAAUGAACAUUCUAGACAUUCUGACACUCUUGCAAAUUGGCUACAGAUGUACUUACCCCUCUCACAGAGAAAAAAAUCAACAUAAUGAAAGAAUAGUCAAUGAUGACUUCCCAUUCCCAAGUCCUUUGAAGACUCAUUCUGAGUUCUUUUUACUGUCUUCCUGGUGUUAAUAACUGUCAAUGGACUUCAGUUUUCAAGUCUCUUAUGUCCAUUGAUAUUCUAGAAAUCAAGACUUUUAGUCUAAAACUAGCUAAGCUUGAGCUAGGAAGUAGUGUUCCACCAUGGUUUCUGUUUUAAGUGUAAGUGAAAUGAACCCUUCUCUAGGUUUCUUUGAGUCAUGACAAUUGUCACUGCAAUAGACCACUACCUUAGAAAUCAUCAACUGUCAGUAGGUCCGCAGGUAGUGGUGGGAGUUCAUGAAUUUUCCUUAUCCAUGAUAGAAUACCUACUGAAUCAAUUUUGUGCAGGUCUUACAUAGAUAAUCAUAUCUGCCAUGCAUUCCUGAGUGCAUUUUGGUCCUAUGAGUUAUGACCAAAGAAUUCCAUCAGUCAUCUACUCUUCAAAAAAAAAAACACAAAUGAUUUUCAAUGUAUUGUAGCUACAUGGCAAAACUCUUUUACUAAAGACACCACCCACUUUGACAGGAGCACAUAGAGAAAUUAGUCUAGACCUGAUGGGGUAAGCUUCCAUCUGGUAAGCUUUCUUAGUGCUGGAAGGUGCUGUGUAGGCUGUUGCAGGGGUAGGCAUUGACAACAAAGUACCAAUGAUCUUCAUAUGUUAGGGCUCCGAUCCAUUAGACAAGAUGUGCCCAUUUGUGCAAUGAUGAUUCAAUGAUAGUGUCGUGGUUAUCACCAACCUUUUGAAUCCUGCUAACAAGAAGGAAUUCAUCCUGGAUGUUGUAAAUCUGGUCAAAAGCCCAUUGCUGGGGAGAGCCUACUGUAUUGUUUUCCUAAGUAGUCAUGUGAUACUGUUUUCUAAGUAUUUAUGUAUAUGCCCAUAGAUUAGUGUUGUACUACCCAACUAGGUAGAGAAGCUUUUUUUUUUUUUGAUAGGCAGCAGUUAGCGCAGAGACUCAUUGACUGAUUAAAAGGCAGAGACUAUGUGUUGUGGAGUGCUCAACCCUGAAUAGCAAAUCUGCAUCAAACUCUGGGAAGGGGAAGGUAACAUCAUAAAAGAGGGAACUUGUCAACGUAAGGUUUUCAUAGCCUAGUUUUUCUUUUUUUUAAAUCUGUGCAACUGAGGAUGUAGCAAUUAAAGACAUGAAUGUAAUUUUACUUAAUAAGUUUGAGAGAAAGCUUGGUAUUAUGUGUUAUCUUUUGAGCAUUAUAAAAUUAUAAUUUUAGGGAAGUAUAAAAACCUCCUGGGUAUGUGAAAAAAUUUUAAUAUGUUUAUACGAAAUUAAUCCUAAGUAAAAAAGUGACAUUAAAUUUAAACUACUUUAAAAUCAGAUAAAACUGGGAAUUUACUUUCACAGAACAGAUUCGGCAUGUUGUGUUUAUGUAUUUUCUCAUAAACAUAUAACAACAAUAAUACCCAAUGAGAAGAGGCUAUGGACUUAAGAAAGAGCAGGGGAGGGACAUGAGAGGGUUCUGAGGGAGGAGGUAAGGCAAAGGGGGAAUUUGAUUUUAAUUAAAAAUUUAA